rnacentral:lncRNA from 1 species
GACAAAUGUCUCAAAAAGAAUGUUUAUUAAUAUAAAUAAAAUUUAUUGAUACACUAAUAUUUUAAAAUUUAAUCGUUAAGUCAUACGUGUCAUGACAUAACAUUGCUUUAUAAGACAAUAUAUACAACCAUAACAUAUAUAUCCUAUCAGUACUUAUAAGCAUGUACAUCAGCCUAACAUAACCUAUAAGCAAGUACUAAUUACAUGUAAACACCAAUUUUCUCUAACUUCAAUUAUUUGACUUUCAUGAUAUUGUUGACAUCUGCAACUAGAAACUGCAAGGAAGAAAAAUAACAUAGAAUUAGUUCAUUAAAUAUUACUACAAAUUAAUUAUGACGAUAAAGAUAACUUUUAUUAGUUGGAAUUGUUCUUCUUUCACAGUAUGUAAUAAUUUCCUUCAUAUAUUGACACACAUAAUAUCCACAAUCAUUGCCGUUGGGUUGUCUUGGGCACUAGAAUUCCAAAAUAAAUAAGAAAACAUUUUUAUAAUUUGAACAUAAAAAAGAACCAAAACUUUAGUAUACUCCAAACAGAUUCAAUGCAUGAUAACAAAUAACUAUAUAUAAGUAUAAACAAUUAAUAAUAAGUUAUGCUUUCAUAACAACCAUAUACUCCUCCAACCAGUUUCACAAUAAUACAUGUUAUUUAACUAACCAUCAUCAUGCAACAAGGAAAUAAGUCUUCAACCAUUUAAGAAUACAAGUUAUUCACCUAACCAGUACAAUACAAACAGCCAUAACCACAUAAGGUCAUUCAACAAUUUAAUUAUCACAAUCAAGACUAUACUACACAAAACAUAUUAGAGUAAUGUACCUUAAUUGUUGUCCACUUGAUAUUGUUUGACUUAGACUUUGAAACCAUGUUUCUUAUUUAAGCUCGAUAGAUUUGUAUAACCCUAGUGAAUAAAUAAGAUUAAAACAUGUAUAAGUAAAAACAAUACAACUAAAAGUAUACAAAUGUCAACUAAAAGUACUCAAUAUAGUAUUAGCAAUAUAUAGAAACUAUUUGCAAUAACAAACUAUAAAAUAAUAUUCAUCCUACCUCAACUUUGAACACAUCAACUUUGAACACAACGUAUGUGGGAAAAAAGUUCACAACUGAAAUUUACAAAAAGAAUAACAAUGCAAUUAGUAAAGUAAUUAGUAAAAAUGGAAGGACUAGUUAAAUAAAACUACAAAACAUGCAUGGAAUCUAUUAAAAAAGCACAUUCAACCAUAUUUAUCUUGUGAACAGAAACCUAUAGUGGCAGGGAAUAUAUAUAUGUCAGAUUAACUUCUAAUAUGAUAUUAGAGUGUUUACAUGAUACUGGUUUUAAACUAUAUCUCUAAUUAAAUAAUUAGUUCGAAAUAGGCAAUAUUCAUAUAAUCACUAUAUGUGAUUUAAAUAAGGAAAACAAUUAGAUAAUUACUCCUUAAAAAAAAUAUUAAGAUUUAGGGAAUAUACAAAGUAGAGAUUAACUUAAUUCAUUAAUACUAUAUAUCUAUAUAGUCUGACUUCUAAUUAACAAUGAAGAACCUUAAUUCAUUAAUAAUAUAUAUAUAUAUAUAUGUAUACUUUUUUUCAAAUAUGUUAUAACCACGUUUUGCUAGUUGGUCCUGUUGCAAAUUAUGAACUCUUCACUUAUAUGGCUAUGAACAAUUGGGUCAGUGUUUGGCUAAAAGUAGCAUUGUUUAUGGAGAUACUUUUGGUAAGAACAUAGAAAAAGUGAGUAUAAAAACAAAUAUUCUAAUUUAUAACUUUGAGGUUCUGCUAUGGACAAAAAAAAUACAGGUGAAACUUUGUAAAGCGAUAUCCUGUACUUCAAAACAGCAAAGAGAAAUAUGCAUUGUCAUUAAAAAUACUCGCUGACAAAUGUAAAAAUUCUUCAAAAGAAUCAGCUCAAAUUUUUGUCAAUCAACUUUUCUAUCAAACCAACUUAGAUGUGUAACUAGUGUUUGUAAAACGUUCGUAAAAACUUCAAAAUUCCAUUUAAUGUAAAUUCACCAAAAACACUUCAUUGGAACUCUUAUAAAAUGACACCUUGAAACUAAAAGAAACAUUAAAAAACGUUUAGAUUUCGGUUAAUAAAUUAGGGUAGAUUAACCUCAACAGAAAAUAAAAUAAAAAAUACCAUUAAUUGGAAAUAUGUAUCAAUUAUAUUUUCGCAGAUUUCAAUGAGAACCAAAUUAAUUUAAAUGUUUCAACUAAAAUCCAAAUGAGAACCAAAUUAAUUUAAAACAUUAUUUAAACUGAAGCAAGGUACUCAAUCAGAUUAACGUCUGCACCCUUUAUCAAUUUGCUCCUAAGGCAGAAUUACACAUUCUACCCAUGUUCACAUACACCCUACAGUGUUCAGUUGCAACCUUGCAUCCAAUACGUGAUUGGCAAACAUUCACACUGAACAUAGGUGAAUGUGUUUGCAUCCUCUGGACUCAAUGUUAUAUAAUCAAAUUAUUUUCAAUAGGCAAUAUUAUUAAAUGUACGAGUAGUGGAAUGCAGUCAUGAGUAUUUUUAGUGUCAAAAGUAUUUGACACUGGCAUGGUGACUACGGAGUAAAAUAUCUGUAGUUCUGGAUCUUAGAGAAUACAUCUGUGACAAGAAAGAAGAUUAAAAAAAAAAAAAAAGAGAAAAUGUACUUUUUCUCAGGAGUUUCAUAUUUUGGGAACAUGUCAAAAGAUUAUAGAGGAUUAUGAUCCUACACUAAAAUCUCAGAACAGAGGUUGCUUGAGAGAAAUUGCUUCUUAAUUCUUAACACAACCCUUCCUAUUAAUACUAUUAGUGAUUGACUACAGAAGCUAAUCAAGAAAUAAUUCUAGAGCUAGUUAGAAGCUGUUAACCAGAGUCAUAAUAAAUAACAAUCUAAAUUAAAAUUCUUACAGCCCAAUCUAGUCAAUGUUGCUUUAAGCUUUUUUUGGUUGUUCAGAAGCCACACAAAACAAACAAUUCCUGACAGAUGUAAGAUGCUAUAAACAUACGAGGAAUAUAGUUUUUAUUAAGUGAUUGCAUUGGUCAGUACAUUCAUUCAACAAUAUAUACAUAUAGCAUAACCUGGCCUUAGCUUAUAACCCACUUUUCCAUCAGAGACUCGCCUAGUAAUCACUCAUAAACUUACUUUUACUCAAACUCAUUCCAGAAAACACAAGCAAAAACAAACCCUUCAGUCAUAUAUGAGUAAUAGACAUUUCUUUGCUUAUAAUUCAUUUUCAAUUUAAAAUAAAACGUUCCAAACAAUACAAUGUUCACGAAUCUCACAUAAUUUCAAAGUCUGUCAAGUAAUUACGCAAUCAGAAUUUACUCCAUUUACAAUACUUCUUGUUUUAGACCAAUACUCAACAUUUCACAAAUUAACAUUACUUCAGAGACAACCAACGGUUCCAGAUUUUAACAUUUUCUGUUUGAGAUCAACAAUACUGGACAAACAACAAUCACACCAUACCCUUUUAGAAAAACUUCAGAAUUAUAGAAACACCCAAUUCAACUCACUAUCAAAGUCGACAAAUAUUGUGUUUGAGCCCUUUACUAAUUAUUCCUUUUUUUAAAAAAAAAAAACAGAGCACUCAUCAUCUAUAAAUUUUCCAGAUUAUUUUCAUGUCAAUACCUCUAAAUUCCCAUUCUCUGGCCACAUUGCACUCGCUCUCUCAGUACCCCUCACUGACACUCGAAAACCACUUCUAAAACCUCAAAAGUGUUCGUCUCGCAAUUUCCGCCGUUCCCCGUUCUCUCAUUCGCAUUAUACCCUAAAACGUCGAAGGGAAGAAGAGAAGAGAAUGAAUGCAUCGUGAGCCCUCUACCCCCAACUCUACUCGAUUCGAACAGAGACAAGCACACAACAAUCAACCACUAAUCACAAACAAUCAAGUAUCAUACCCAUAAUCAACACACAAGAAAUACCUGGCCACCGCGAGCGACUUGCUCCACCAACGCAACACCGUCUCGCUCCACCACAGGUUUGGGACGAACGCGUCGCGUGAAACUUGGCGAAAAUCGGAGGUGAAAUUAGGGCACAAAUUGGAAGUGAAACUUGAGUGAAAAUGGGAAGUGAUACUAGGCGAAAAUCUCAAAUUCAGGGCAAACGGGAAAAAUGGGAAAAUUUGUUUUAGAGAAGCUCCACGAAAACUCAAAAAAUUCUCGUGCGAAAAAAAAGACUCAAGACUUACAUUUUUAUUUUUAAAUACUUAACAUGUAACGCUUAAAAAAAAAUGCUAUUUUAAUAAAAUAGAUAGUGUUUU